rnacentral:rRNA from 1 species
CCUACGGGUUGCAGCAGUGGGGAAUAUUGGACAAUGGGGGCAACCCUGAUCCAGCCAUGCCGCGUGUGUGAAGAAGGCCCUCGGGUUGUAAAGCACUUUCAGUGAGGAAGAACGCCUGGUGGUUAAUACCCAUCAGGAAAGACAUCACUCACAGAAGAAGCACCGGCUAACUCCGUGCCAGCAGCCGCGGUAAUACGGAGGGUGCGAGCGUUAAUCGGAAUUACUGGGCGUAAAGCGCGCGUAGGUGGCUUGAUAAGCCGGUUGUGAAAGCCCCGGGCUCAACCUGGGAACGGCAUCCGGAACUGUCAAGCUAGAGUGCAGGAGAGGAAGGUAGAAUUCCCGGUGUAGCGGUGAAAUGCGUAGAGAUCGGGAGGAAUACCAGUGGCGAAGGCGGCCUUCUGGACUGACACUGACACUGAGGUGCGAAAGCGUGGGUAGCAAACAGGAUUAGAUACCCUAGUAGUC